rnacentral:rRNA from 1 species
CGCCUAAUACAUGCAAGUCGAACGAAGUAGCAAUACUUAGUGGCAGACGGGUGAGUAACAUGUAGGUAUCUUCCCUUCGGUGAGGAAUAACACGAGGAAACUUGUGCUAAUACCUCAUAAGUCUUUACGGAGAAAGCUUUAUGCGCCGAUGGAUGAGCCUGCACUUGAUUAGUUUGUUGGUAGGGUAAUGGCCUACCAAGACAAUGAUCAAUAGCUGAUUUGAGAGGAUGAUCAGCCACAUUGGGACUGAGACACGGCCCAAACUCCUACGGGAGGCAGCAGUAGGGAAUCUUGCACAAUGGGGGAAACCCUGAUGCAGCGAUGCCGCGUGAGUGAAGAAGGCCUUUGGGUUGUAAAGCUCUUUCGUCGGGGAAGAAAAUGACUGUACCCGAAUAAGAAGGU